rnacentral:rRNA from 1 species
GAUGAACGCUGGCGGCGUGCCUAAUACAUGCAAGUCGAGCGAACGGACGAGAAGCUUGCUUCUCUGAUGUUAGCGGCGGACGGGUGAGUAACACGUGGAUAACCUACCUAUAAGACUGGGAUAACCUCGGGAAACCGGAGCUAAUACCGGAUAAUAUUUUGAACUGCAUGGUUCACACGUGAAAGACGGUCUUGCUGUCACUUAUAGAUGGCUCCGCGCUGCAUUAGCUAGUUGGUAAGGUAACGGCUUACCAAGGCAACGAUGCAUAGCCGACCUGAGAGGGUGGUCGGCCACACUGGAUCUGAGACACGGUCCACACUCCUACGGGAGGCAGCAGUAGGGAAUCUUCCGCGAUGGGCGAAAGCCUGACGGAGCAACGCCGCGUGAGUGAUGAAGGUCUUCGGAUCGUAAAACUCUGUUAUUAGGGAAGAACAUAUGUGUAAGUAACUGUGCACAUCUUGACGGUACCUAAUCAGAAAGCCACGGCUAACUACGUG